GGGCCGAUAGCUCAGUUGGUAGAGCAGCAGACUUUUAAUCUGCGGGUCGCGCGUUCGAGCCGCGCUCGGCUCACCA
rnacentral:tRNA from 1 species